AUCCUGGUAAGUUUUUAUUUUUCUAAAACAUAAAACAUAUUUAAAAUUCAUUUAUCCAGGGCAUGCUAUGGCAUGCUAUGCCUGAAAAAAAUUUACAACUGCGCAGGUUUGUCUGUACUCAGAGUAAAUUUUGAGGUGAAAAUACGGCCAUUUUAGCCAGAGUCCACAUGAACCUGAAUCAAAGUAUCAUGAUAACAUCUCAUGACACUCUUAAGGAUAUAAUAUUGUAAAGGGCAAGAUGAAUUUCUUGAAAGACAAAUUGACUGCCCUAUGGAUUCAGCAUCCCAACAACAAAAUAAAGACAUAAUAAGUUUUAACCGAUGCGAAUUAAAGAGUUUUUUUUAAAGGGCUCACCGUCAGGGGCGGACCCGGCCAUUUUUAAAAGGGGGGGGGGGUCCCAACCCAGGACAAAAAGGGGGGUGUUCCAACUACAUGUCCCCAUUCAAAUGCAUUGAUCGUCCAAAAAAAGGUGGGGUUCUAACUACAUGUCCCCAUUCAAAUGCAUUGAUCGUCCCAAAACAGGGGGGUUCUAACCCCCGGACCCAAUCGGGAUUCGCCACUGCACCGUAAUUCAAAGUAUCAAAAAACCGAACACCUUGACAACUCAUCACUGUCAUGCUGUUGACCACUCACCACUGUCAUGCUGUUGACCAUGGAUAGGAAGUCGUUCUGUUUAAUAGUUUCUGAAAAGUGCAUGUGACGCAAAUUUGUUUGACUAAGUAGGACGGAGAUGAUUGCAAGCCCAACUUAAACGAGUUCUACCAAAGUUCAAUUAAAUGAAGUGGAUAUAAGAAAUUAAAGGCAACCGACCGUACUUGUUAUCUUUUCAGUCAAUAGACAACUGAAAUAAUUCCUAUCUGGCGUAAAAAUAGUUUUCCGUAGUCGGCUUAUCACGACACACGGAAGACCACGCUUAUUUCAAACUAGUAUGAAGAGCUGAUUUUUAUUUAUUCCUUUUUGUACAAUGUAUUUUCUCAAGGAUAAGGUUUUAUCAUCUCUCACCAAGAUAUAUAAGUUUUUAAACCUCAUUCACUUUUAAAUUUAACAUUUACACUAAAAAGAAAUAUUCCGCCUGCAUGAACACAUAAUUGAUUUUACGAGAUUCAACAUUUACAUAUAACCUUAAAUAUUCUGCCAACUGUGGACCUGUUUUUUGGACUAGAGAUGAAGAACAGCAAUAAAAGUGCGGUUCAUUUGCCGAUGGUUCAUGUUUUUUGUUGUGCUUGUACUAAAUUUGUGUCAUCGAUACCCUAUAUUAUUUGUUCUAUUAUCAUAGCUUUUUGUUGUUGUAUGUGUCCUGGGAACAUAUAUAUCAAUAUCACUAUCAAUAUACAUGUUCCUCAGUGGCGGAUCCCCAACUUUGUCCUGGGUUUAGGAAACUCCCUUUUCAAAAUGGCUGGUUUCGCACCUGUUCCUGAUUUGUCCUGGGAUUGCUGUCUCUUGACUUCAAUAUCUCUUGUUAUUUCAUAUUUUUGUACUUAUUUCCCAUUUCAGCUACGGAUCCAGAAGAAUUCACAAGGGGAAGGGACUGUCAUAAUAGGAGAUACGCGCUCGUGAUUCCCUUAAUAAUCUUCCAAUUUAUGUUUCACAAAAAUGAGGGCCCGCCUCUGCAUUUUUCCAUACUUCUCACGUGACACCGCUAAGCUUAAAGUGAAACCAAUCGACAUUCAACUUUGUUUAAGCCAGUCAAGGUCGCUAAACACAUAAUCACCAAUUCAACUUUUUAAAUAUGUAGUCUGAAUCCAUGAUGAUCUGGAUGGGCUUUACAGAAAUGUGCAGAACAAAAUUGCUAAUCAUAGAGAAAAUAGGGCCACAAUAAUGAAUAGAGAAUAACAGGGAACUGUAACAUCAAUCAGAGAUUGAAAAUGGGGGGAAAUAUUAACAAAUUGAAUGAAGGGCUGCCAACCAGACCCUCACAAUUCGGUACUGUAGCUAUAUCUGAAGUAAUAGUGUAAUAAUGU
rnacentral:lncRNA from 1 species